UGGGGAAUAUUGGACAAUGGGCGCAAGCCUGAUCCAGCAAUGCCGCGUGAGUGAUGAAGGCCUUCGGGUUGUAAAGCUCUUUCGCACGCGACGAUGAUGACGGUAGCGUGAGAAGAAGCCCCGGCUAACUUCGUGCCAGCAGCCGCGGUAAUACGAAGGGGGCGAGCGUUGUUCGGAAUUACUGGGCGUAAAGGGCGCGUAGGCGGUGUGUCAAGUCAGGCGUGAAAGCCCCGGGCUCAACCUGGGAACGGCGCUUGAGACUGGCACGCUCGAGUUCGGGAGAGGAUGGUGGAAUUCCCAGUGUAGAGGUGAAAUUCGUAGAUAUUGGGAAGAACACCGAUGGCGAAGGCAGCCAUCUGGACCGACACUGACGCUGAGGCGCGAAAGCGUGGGGAGCAAACAGG
rnacentral:rRNA from 1 species